GACGAACGCUGGCGGCGUGCCUAAUGCAUGCAAGUCGAGCGAAGUUUUUCUGGUGCUUGCACUAGAAAAACUUAGCGGCGAACGGGUGAGUAACACGUAAAGAACCUGCCUCAUAGACUGGGACAACUAUUGGAAACGAUAGCUAAUACCGGAUAACAGUAUUUCUCGCAUGAGAGAUAUUUAAAAGUUGGUUAUGCCAACACUAUGAGAUGGCUUUGCGGUGCAUUAGCUAGUUGGUGGGGUAAAGGCCCACCAAGGCGACGAUGCAUAGCCGACCUGAGAGGGUGAUCGGCCACACUGGGACUGAGACACGGCCCAGACUCCUACGGGAGGCAGCAGUAGGGAAUCUUCCGCAAUGGGCGAAAGCCUGACGGAGCAACGCCGCGUGAGUGAAGAAGGAUUUCGGUUCGUAAAGCUCUGUUGUUAGGGAAGAAUGGAUAUGUAGUAACUAUACAUGUAAGAGACGGUACCUAACCAGAAAGCCACGGCUAACUACGUG
rnacentral:rRNA from 1 species